UUUACAGCAGCUUCCUUCACAGCACACCUUUUUAAUCCCUUCUUCUUCCGCUCAGACAAUCAAAGAGUUUCAGUGUGAGAAGAGGGAGUGGGCCGGUGACCAUGCAGCUCUUCCUGGUUCUCUUCUUUCUGCUGGGAAUCCCCAGCGUGGCUCCAGAAUUUCACUCUCUGAAGGCUUUCUACACCGGAUCAUCUCAGGUCCCAAACUUUCCAGAGUUCGUGGCUGUUGGUUUGUUCGAUGAAGUUCAGAUCGUGCACUACGACAGCCACACCAGGAGAUUCGUGCCCAAACACGACUUGUUGAAGAAAUUCAGUGAAGGCGAUCCGACGCAGUGGAACAUCUUCACCCAGGUGCUGAAGGGACAUCAGCAGUGGUUCAGAGCCAACAUGGAGAUCCUCAAGCAGCGUUUCAACCAAACUCAAGGUGUUCAUGUUUUCCAGAACAUGUACGGUUGUGAAUGGGACGAUGAAACCGGUGAGCUGGACGGAUAUAAUCAAUACGGUUUUGACGGAGAAGAUUUCAUCUCUUUGGACCUGAAGACAGAAACCUGGAUCGCUCCAGUUCGGCAGGCCGUCUUCACCAAACACCAGUGGGACAAGGACAAAGCACGGCUGGCCGGGCACAAAAAGGACCUCCUCCACGUUUGUCCAGACUGGCUGAAGAAGUUUGUGAAGUUUGGUGGGAGCUCACUGAUGAGAAAAGAUCUUCCCUCGGUGUCUCUCCUCCAGAAGACUCCCUCCUCUCCGGUCACCUGCCACGCCACCGGUUUCUACCCCGACAGAGCCGACUUGUUCUGGCAGAGAGACGAGGAGGAGCUCCAUGAGGAGGUGGUCAGGGGAGAGACCCUCCCCAACCACGACGGGAGCUUCCAGAUGAGCGUCGACCUGGAUCUUUCAGGGGUCAGAGAUGAAGACUGGGGGAGGUACAGCUGUGUGUUUCAUCUGGCUGGAGGACAGGAAGUCCUCACACCGCUGGACAGACACGCCAUCAGGACCAACUGGAGACACGGGUUUCCCUCUGCUGCUGUGGUUUCAGCUGUUGUCGCUCUGCUCGUCUUGACAGGCUGCUUCAUCGGACUCAUUGUCUGGAAGAGAAACUGGAAAGGGUUCAGAGCCACUAACACCUCUGAAGCUUCCUCUUCAUCAGGAGAAGAUCCAGCCGUGAAGAGAGGCAGCAGUGAGGAGCAGAGCAUUUUAAAAACCUCUGCAGAAAACCAAGAGUCCAAAGAGGCUCCAGUCACUGAGUCUGAUGAACCGAGAGGGAAAAGAAACGAUUGACAUGUUGCAGACUGGUUCCAGUUUGAGCCUGUUGGAACGCAGCCAGCCAGGAGACUGUGGGGCAGUCAUCCAGCAAACCCUGCAUUGAUUGAGGCUCGGGCGCUCGGAGGACGCACGCCAUCGCCACGGCAACCGUUUCUAUAGCGGGAGGCCGGAGCGCCGCGUGUCACGUAUGGAUGGAUGUGAUCACACCGCGAUGGAGGUGGAGGAGCGCGUCCACAUGACUCACGCUCGGCAGGACUUACUCACCUCGGAGACGAUUUACCGACAAUCUACAGAUGAAAAGAAUAUUUUAAGAGUUUAAAUGGACAGUGGCAUGAAACCGCUGGAACGUCAGAGCAGCUCCAGACAAUCUUGAUUUACAAAUGCAACACUACAUUUACUGUCAAGUGAAAACAGGACUUUAUCUCUGCACUUUCUGGUCCUGGUUGAGAACUCCAGAUCAAAUCCCGUACUCACAACUCUCACCAAAAGUCUUGAAUUGAUUUUUCUUUAACUUUCUAUUAAGAAUCAAACACAGCUUCUUCUGCAAUCAACUUUUGUCCUGCAGGCAACCCUCACAAGUCAUCUUUCUCCUUAGCGUGAAGCGCCGCCAUUUUUUUUCUCCGCUGCUCCCUUUGCCUGCGUACUUUUGUGUUUAUUGCUGCCAGUUAUGAAUAGUUUCUUUGAUCAUAUUUUUAAAUCAGUUAUACGCUUUUAGAAUAAAUGCUCAAAUUUUGCAUUUUUUUUAUACAAAUCCAUGAAGUUCUAUCAGACCUGUUUUAUAAAAUAUUUUCUACCUCUUGAAGAGUUUGGAAUUAGACAGGAGAUAAAUUAUCAGGUGGCAUCCAAGAAACACUUUUUCAAGAAAUAACAACCUCAAUUUUGAACUAUCGCCUUAAUU